rnacentral:rRNA from 1 species
CCUACGGGCGGCAGCAGUAGGGAAUAUUGCUCAAUGGGGGAAACCCUGAAGCAGCAACGCCGCGUGGAGGAUGACGGUUUUAGGAUUGUUAACUCCUUUUGUUAGAGAAGAUAAUGACGGUUUCUGACGAAUAAUCACCGGCUAACUCCGUGCCAGCAGCCGCGGUAAUACGGAGGGUGCAGGCGUUAAUCGGAAUCACUGGGCGUAAAGAGCGCGUAGGCGGGAUAGCAAGUCAGAUGUGAAAUCCUAUGGCUUAACCAUAGAACUGCAUUUGAAACUGUUAUUCUAGAGUAUGGGAGAGGUAGGUGGAAUUCGUGGUGUAGGGGUAAAAUCCGUAGAGAUCAAGAGGAAUACUCAUUGCGAAGGCGACCUGCUAGAACAUAACUGACGCUGAUGCGCGAAAGCGUGGGGAGCAAACAGGAUUAGAUACCCUGGUAGUC